rnacentral:lncRNA from 1 species
UUUACUUGAUGAUCCUAAGGCCAUUUUGUAUUACCAGCGAAACCCAAAAAAAAACCUAUAAACAGGUGACUUAUUUAUAAGCGUAUCUAGGGUUUUUUCUUGUACCCUAAGUGUAAGCUUCACACCAAAAAAAACCCCUUAGCCGUCGCCGUCACUUUCUCUCCGAGACGAAAGAUGAAGACUAUCUUGUCAUCUGAGACGAUGGACAUCCCCGACGGCGUCGCCAUCAAGGUUCACGCCAAGGUGAUCGAAGUCGAAGGCCCACGCGGGAAACUCACUCGCGAUUUCAAGCAUCUCAACCUCGAUUUUCAGCUGAUUAAAGACGAGGUCACCGGGAAGCGUCAGCUCAAGAUCGAUUCGUGGUUCGGCUCUCGCAAAGCCAGUGCUUCGAUCCGAACUGCGUUAAGCCACGUCAACAAUCUCAUCGCUGGUGUCACUCAAGGUUUCCUUUACAAAAUGAGGUUUGUGUAUGCUCAUUUCCCCAUCAAUGCUUCGAUCUCCGGUGACAACAAAGCCAUCGAGAUCCGUAACUUCCUUGGCGAGAAGAAGGUUCGUUUGUUUUGUUUUGGUUGAUUUGAGAUUCUUUGUCAUUUUAAGGUAGAAAUGUUGUUGUCGAUGAUUUGCUUAUUGAUGUGUUGAAAUGGUAUGAACAGGUCAGGAAGGUUGAAAUGUUGGAUGGUGUUAAGAUUGUUCGAUCUGAGAAGGUUAAGGAUGAGAUUACUCUCGAGGGAAAUGAUAUCGAGCUUGUCUCACGGUCAUGCGCUUUGAUCAACCAGGUACUCUCUGCUCUUUUGUUUUCUUAUUGCUUGUCCUGUUUUUUGAAACUUGAAAGUUAUGGAAUCUUGAAUUGAGAAUGUAUAGAAUGGAAAAUGUACCAAAUGGGUUUCCGUAACUUGUUGUAGAAACUUAGAGAAUUUCACCAUAAUGGUCUGACUCUUGUUUGUGAUGGGUUUGAUAAUGACUUGCGUUUUAAAGAUGCAGGCUUUACCUUUGUUAAUAACUCUAUUAUAUAUGAUUGUUUGAUCAUGAUCUUGUGAAAUAAAGAAUGGUAAAUUUAACAGAUGGGUUUCUAUAGAAUGUUGCCGAAACUAUAAAAAAGUGCAACAUUAUGGUCUGAAUCUUGUUUGUGAUGAGUUUGAUUGUGAUUUGCCUAGUAAAGUGCAGACUUUGCCAUUCUUUAUAACUCUCUUAUUGAUGAUUGUUUGAUCCUGAUCUUGAGAAAGAAAACAUGGUUAAUGUAUCAUAUGUGUCUCCCUAGAGUCUUGCAGAAACUAAGAAAAAUGCAGUGUAUUGGAUCUGAAUUUUGUUUGUGAUUCGAUUGAUUAUGUUUUGCUUGAAGCUGCAGAUUUUUCCUUUAUUAAUACUCUCUUUUUGAUGUCUGUUGUCUGUUUGAUCUUGAGCAGAAAUGCCAUGUGAAGAAGAAGGAUAUUAGGAAGUUUCUCGAUGGUAUCUAUGUGAGCGAGAAGGGCAAGAUUGCUGUUGAAGAAUGAAGCUACUGAAAUGCUAUGUUAUAUUCAUAUUGUGUUACAGUGAUAUAGUCGUAGCUUUUUGUUUACAUCUCUUAUGGAUUUGCAGUUUUGUUUCCUUUGGACCAGUAUCGAUGAUGCAAACUCAUUAUCCUUUAUGUUCGGUUUUUUAUCCACUUGCUGAAGUUUCGGAAGAUAAAUUCUCUUUACUCUUCUCUAUUUUCCUUAUUUGCCUGUUGUUGGAAGUUGAUUGAACUUGAAAGAAUAUCUAUUUGAUUGAACUUGAAAGAAUAUCUAUGCUUAUAUUUUGAUGGUUUGGAUCCAUAGACUAUGUAUAUAUUUUGAUAGAUGGUAACCAAGAAACGAGUAACAUAAAUAUAUUUUGAUGGUUUGGAUCCAUAGACUAUGUAUAGAGUAGAGAGCCAAAUCGAGUCCGUUAAGAAUUGGGUCUAAGGUCAAUAAAUGUUUCUUUACUUAUUCGGGUAUUCGUUUGGUAAUUGUUCCAAUGGGAGCAUCAAAGGUGUUAUAUAUAUAUAUAUAUAUAUAUUGGAGAAUUAUGGGGGAAUUACGGGGGAAUUAUAUAUAUAUAUAUAUAUAUAUAUAUAUAUAUAUAACCGGUCUUGAAGGCAAGUAGUCUAAGCAUAGGCUUACGAUCCUAUUUUUUUAUAUAAAAUUUUCGGCCUUAAAGUUAUUAAAAGUUUUUGUAGUCUAAUGGUAUGUUGUAAGGUUGGUUUUGCUUUUUUUUUUUUUUUCAACUACCCAACUAUUACAUCACUAUUGGCCCGUUAAAAGGUGGUUCAGAAAAACCUCCUACAACUGGCUCGUUAUGAAUGAUUUGGGAAAAGAAAAAAGAAAAUGCCUUUUGCUCGAGCUCUCUUUGCAAGACUAUCCGCUCGGACAUUUGAACUUCUGGGAAUAUGAGAGAGUGUGAAGUUUAAGAAACUUUCUCGGAGAUUGCGGAAGACUUCCAACUCUGAUAAGAAAGAUGGCCAAUCCGAUGGAGAUUCUGACAUGCUUACCAAAUCCAAGCAAUCGGUUUAAAAGUGGACGGAUAAGAUCAGUCGAUCUUUUAUGCAAGACAUAGCCCAUAAGAGGCUCUCCAACUCGGCAUGAAGGGCCGAGAGGCUUCUACGACAGCCCUGAAGGCCAAAAAUCUCACCACUCCUAUCCUCCUUUAAGCUCCACCCUAGCCCAGUAAACAGGCCGCUGCCUGUCCAGGAUGCAUCAACCUGACAAAUCGGGAACCUCUGGACAUCAGGUAGAGUAAUCGGGAGCCAAGGAGUGGGGGUAGUCUCGUCUGUUGCGUCUUCGUCUUCUUCUGGGUCGUUUGCAAGCUUCCAGCUUUCUGAUUCAAUCUUGGCGUGGAUCAAAGUAUCUACUGGGGAAAUUUCUUUCCCGUUGAAGAUCUUUUCGUUCCUCGCUUUCCAAAUAUACCACAGGAUCCAAAGAUAAAUAUCCUUUUGUGGAUCUGUCAUGCCUACCUCUUUUGUUUUCCAAAAGAGGAAGCUCAUAUUUUGGUAAAUAGAAGUACUCGGGAAGAGGCCCGGAAGGGACGGAAAGUCCGAUAACGCCCAGACUUGUAAAGCCGGGGGACAUAAAAAAGAAGAUGGUUAAUAGAUUCUUCAGGAUUUCCACAACGGGGGCAGUGCUUAUCCGUUCCCAUAUGCCUAUAAGUCAGGUUUUGGCAAGUAGCAAUACAUCGUGAUAAAGUUUGCCACAUAAAAUGCUUCAUCUUUCGAGGCGUUCGUAUUUUCCAAACGUAGCUUUGAAGAGUUGUGAUGCUCGGUUCUCUCACGACAUCUGAAUUUUGUGCAAGCAUCGUUCUUCUAAUCAAAUCAUAGCCCGAUUUAACCGAAUAUAUCCCCGAUUUAGUAUGGUUCCACGCAUAUCCGUCUAAAGUGUGGUUCCUGCUAGGUCUCAACCCAAGGAUAAGAGAGACAUCCUCAGGUUGGAAAAAAACUCUUAGGAGAGGCACAUCCCAUUUCUUCGUAUCUUGCCAGAUAAGAUGUUAGACUAACAUUCCUGGAUCCUGAAAGCCGAUCUGAGGGGCUGCUCUUGGAGAUCGGGCCCUGGCAUCGGGGAUCCAAGGCUCACUCCAGGCUCUGGUGUUGAGUCCCGACCCGAUUGUCUUCCUAAGUCCCAUUUUGAGAUACGGUUUGGCGGCCAACAUACUCCUCCAUCCAUAAGAUGGUGAAUAGACAUUUCGAUCUUCUAAAGGAUCUGAUUGUCGGUAAUAUCUUCCUCUUAGCACUCGGGCCAGAAGAGAAGAAGGGUAUUGGAUGAGUCUCCAUAGCUGCUUAGCAAGCAAAGCUAGGUUAAAAUCAUUUAAAUCCCUAAAUCCCAGACCUCCCAUAUCCUGAGGAAUACAAAUUUUGUCCCAAGCGAUCCAGUGGAUCCCACUGCUAUUUUGUUUCGAGCUCCACCAAAAAUUGGCGAUGGCACUCCGGAGUUUGUCAGUAACCCCUUUAGGCAAAAGAAAGCAAGACAUGACGUAAGUAGGGACUGCUUGAGCCACCGAUUUUAUCUGAAUGUCUUUCCCACCUUUGGAUAGAAGUCUUGCAGACCAAUUAUUUACCCGAUUACUAAGUCGGUCAUGUACAAAGGAGAAGACCUUCUUCUUUGAUCCACAGAUUUGUUCUGGAAGGCCCAGAUACAUACCCAUUCCACCUACCGAAGUGAUGCCGAUGGAAUUUUUGAUACUUCGUUUAAGAUUUGGAUCCACUCUAUUACCAAACAUGAUGGAUGAUUUGCCUAGAUUAAGUUGUUGUCCUGACGCUUUUCCAUAAGUAUCAAUAAUUUUGAAUAUUUCCGCUCCCUGAUGGAUAUCCGCUUUACAGAAAAACAGACUAUCAUCAGCGAAGAAGAGAUGGGAAACUGGAGGACUUGCUUGAGCUAUUUUUAGCCCAGAAAUGCGAUCUUCUUCCUCAGCUCCCUUGAGGAGAGAUAUUAGUCCUUCAGUACACAGGAUGAAGAGGAAAGGGGAUAGAGGGUCUCCUUGUCUCAAGCCUCUCGACGGUUUGAUAUUUCCUUUGGGUUCUCCAUUAAUCAGGACCUGAUAAAAGACCGAUGAGAUGCAGAACAUCAGUAGACUGACCCAUCUCGACGAGUAUCCCAUUUUGGUGAGGAGAGCUUCAAUGAAUCCUCAUUCAACCCGAUCGUAUGCUUUACAUAAAAUUUUCUCUGCAAUUUGUGUUGGUACGAAGAGCAUGAAAAUUUUCUUGUGCUAACAGAAUGUUGUCAGUGAUGAGUCGUCUAGCCAUGAAGGCCGAUUGUGUUUCCGAAAUAAGGUUUGGUAAGGUCUUUUUGAGCCGUUUGCACAAAAGCUUGGAGAUAAUCUUAUAACUCACAUUACAUAAGCUAAUUGGACGGAACUCCGUCAUCGAUCUAGGUUUGUUGGUUUUUGGGAUAAGACAAAUAUUGGUCUGAUUAAGUUUAGGAUCAAAAACUCCAGAUCUGAAGAAUUCUUUUACCAAUUUUACUAUGUCUUGGCGGAGGAAACGCCAGAAUUUUUGAUAGAAUUUACUUGUCAUACCAUCAGGUCCUGGGGCUUUGUCCGGGUUAAUAUCGAAGAGAGCAUCUUUUAUUUCAUUUUCUGACGGAUCCUUCAGAAGAAAUUCAUUAUCAUUAUCUGAGACUUUCUCGGUGAUAAACCGGAGUGAAUCUUCUAGAUCAGAGGGUAUAGACGAGGAAAAAAGUUUCUGAAAAUACUGCAAUGCCACCCGUUCGAUUCCCCUUGCAUUUUCUACCAGAUGUCCAUUGCUGUCUUUUAGAGCUACAAUACGGUUUCGGGCUCGCCUCUGUUUAGUGAGUGCGUGGAAGAAUUUGGUAUUUUUAUCGCCGUCUUUAUGCCAUUUUUCUCGGCUUUUCUGUUGCCAAAACAUUUCUUCUUCCCUAAGGGCUACACAGAGCUUCCUCCUAAUUUCUUCAAUUUCUUCAAGCGUUGUGUUUUCAUCAUCUUGAGCUAAGUCCAGUUGAUUUUUCAAUUCUUCUAUCAUUCUUUCUGAGUUAGACGGGUUGGAUUUCUUCCAAAUGGAGAUGUUUUUCCGGCAUUGGGUAACCUUUUGAUGAAAAUCUCUACGUGAGAAUUCAUCAAAUGGGCCCCACCCAGAAACGACUGUCUCUUUGAAUCCUGGUUUUCCGAUCCAUUUUUUAUCAAAUCGAAAAGAUUUUUUCCUCCUUAUGUUGUUAAUUUUGAUCAUAGCGAGGACUAGACGAUGGUCUGAUCCCCACAGUUUCAUGUACUCCACAGAGGAGUGGGAAAAUUUAGACAUCCAUUCUUCAUUUCCGAGAGCUCUGUCAAGGCGGCAUUUGACUUUGCCCGACCGUCUUCUUCCAACCCAGGAGAAAGAGUUUCCUUUAUAAGGAAAAUCAAGCAUUCCACAAUCAUUUAGCAUAUUCCGGAAUGAAAUAAAGGAGCUCUCAGGUCUUCUCCUACCACCCCGCUUUUCGUGGUUUCCUGUAAUUUCAUUGAAGUCCCCAAUCAUAAACCAUGCUUCUUUUCUGGACAGGCUCAUCCGGGUGAGGCGUUCCCAAACUAGUUCUCGAUUUUUUACAAUCGGAUCACCAUAGACGAAAGUCAUAAAAAUUUUAUGUCCGUCUAGAGUAGUUUCAAUAUCAAUCAAAUGCUCAUCCGAAUAAGAAAUAGAAACCGAGGGUUCAUCCAUAUAAAAGAGGGCUAGACCGCCGCUUCGACCUCUCGGUUCAACGGUCUAAACAUGGUCAUAGCCAAAAUGCACUUGCAUAUCUUGCAUAAAAUAGCAAUUGUUCUUUGUUUCUGAUAAAAAUAGGAACCGAGGUUGAAAACAGUGAUAAAGUUCUUCUAGAUGAUCCUUUGUUAGAUCGGCUCCCGCACCCUGACAGUUCCAUCCAAUCACGUUCAUUUCAGAUCAAAGACUGGUAUUUGGGCUCCUCCAAGACUAGAUGAAGAUGGACCUUUUUGGAUUUUGGGCCUUUAAAGAUUUAUUUUCUUCUUCUUUUUUUUCGCAAUUGGGCCUAGCCCAAAACUGGAAAUUAUUUAUAUGUGCGAUUUAGCUUGUAUGUGUUUAAAACCCAGCAGAUUACACUAAACCUUGGGCUUAGCCCAGAAUUGAAAUUGAGCCCAUUAAUUUACUGGCUGAGAAACCAUACACAAAUUAGGUCAAAAAAACAAAAAAAUUUUGGCCUCUGAUGAAGUCGUCUCUGACGCCACAUCAACGAAGGCCGAGCUUCAACGCUUCUUUCUUCCCGAUUAAAAUUUUUUAACCAAACUGAGCUUAAGUUGUGCAAUCAGUUCAGAGUAAUCCACCUUGUUAAAAAAGCAAGUCAUCGUCUUCUUCUUUACUCUUGUUGAAAGGUGAUGCUGUUCUUUGGAUAUUAACAUGAUUUAUCCAAGAGAACUAAAUGAGGAUAGAUUGUCAGGAGAUUUACACAUCUGGAGAAAAAGAAAUUCUUAGCCCGAGGCUAGAUAAAAGAACUGGCGCCGCCGAGAAGCUUUCCACGAGGGAAGCGGGAGACCAAAACCACCGACUCUGUUAGAAGCUAGGAUCUAAACAAAGAGAGAAAAACCAGUAAAUGCACACCACCAACCUAACCCUCACCUCAAAGAGGAUUUGGAUUGGAGGUUAAGCAUGCCAUUUAUGGAGAUGGAUUUUAGGUUCACAGAGAUGCAGGGAUGAGAUGCAGAAGUGAUAGACUUUAGACAAACAGGCGAUGGACUUUAAGUUUCUGGGAUAUGAGUGCGAUUAGAAGGAUAGAAGAUUGGUGGAAAUGGAAGUUGAAACAAAGAAGGUUUGAAAAAACCAUAUCGAAAAGAGUAAGAAGAAGAGAUUUAAAAUUCAAAUCUUGGAAAAAGAAGAUCUGAACUCUCGUGGUAGCUACAUCGGAGAAUGGGCCAGAGAGAGUUUUCUCCUGUGUUCUUCUGGCACUAAGUAUAAAAAAACGAUCUCUAUAGGUUGGUCUUGCUUAGUAGUUGAGACUUUUUGAAUUUGAAUCUCAAUUCUGUAUUUUAUUUUAGUAAAUCAGUUUAAAUCCAUGUUUUUUUAUAAAACGACCUAUUUUUUUCUUUAGCUUGCGGUCACUUAAAACUCAGGGCCGACUCUGUAUAUAUAUAUUCAUAUGAAUAAUAUCUAUAAACAGAAAAAUGUCGAGCCAUUCUCGAUUUCUAUAAAAUUCAACUUCAAUAGCAAUCUUAUCACUUUAAACAUAACAUGAAAACUUCAAUGAAAAAUCCACUAAAACUCCAUACUACAUUGCUUUUCUGAUCAUCUUUAAUUCUUCUUUCAUUUGAUUCAAGUCAUAGUUCACUUCCACCAUUUUGGCCUUAUACUAUCAUCAAGAUGACAAAUUGUUUUGGCAGUCCACCUCUUAGUUCAUUGCAAAUCCAAAGAUUACGAUUUGGGGGUUCACAAUGUGUCUUUCAAUACAGAUUACCACUUUAAAUUUCAAACAAAUGUUUGGAAAUAAACACUGUUCUUCUGCAGCUUUGAAUGUAACUUUAUUAGAAAAAAAAAUCUGUUUAUUAUGUAUUCAUGUUGAAAAUAAAAGAUAUGAUGUUUUGAUGUUUCGAUCUAGUAAAGACUAGUUUGGUGUUCUCUAGUAUUUGUUAGUUCACGAAUGCGUGAAAAUAGAGGAAGGAAAUAAACACCAGUGAUACAUUCAAUGUUUGCAUCAUUUUUAUACUUUCUCAUAACAAUGCUCAAGAAAUAGAAUCUACUUAUACAUCUUUUAUACAUUGGGUAGUUAGUUUAGUCCAAAUUUUGCACACUGGAUUCUUUUUAUCCAAGUUUGUUGAUAUAAUGAAAAAGUUGGCUAAAUCGAGCAGUUACAUCAGUAACGAAAACAUAUUUUUCAUUUCAUGGCACCAGUUAUAUUGGAAUAUGAUGAAUGUUUAGCAAAUUACGGAGGCUGUUAGGUCUUCUUGGAAAACGAGAACAUAACAUUUAAAGCGGUCGACCAAAAAAAAAUUGAAAACAUAACAUUUGCAACAUUCGACCAAAUUUAUUUUGAAACUUCCUUAUGUUGAAUUUUUUAAAUUUUCAGAAUCUCAAGUGGAUUUGAUAUUCAUAACAAGAGAGCAUGAGAGCUUCUAGAAGACUUGCAGCUAGGGUUUGAGAACACGUUGUGACUUAACCUGGUUAAGGUGCACAAAGUUUAAUACUCACUCUGUCCUAAAAUAUAAGAUGUUCUAGAUAAAAGUGCAGAGAUCAAGAAACUAAAUUUUUAAAACAAAACAUCAUUAAUUAUUAGUUAAAAAUAUAAUUUAGUCAAUCAUAAAAAAUACAUUAGAAUUUAAAGAGUUAACAAAUAAAAUAACAUAGAAAUUUGUAAAACAUCUUAUAAAAUAAAACAAAACUUUUUUAUAAACAUUUUAUAUUUUAGGACAGAGUAAAAUACUUUCUUUUCCCUUUCAAGUUUUGUAAUACUCUUAUCAAUAAUCAUUUUUCAAUCUAUUUUGAAUAAUAACCACAUAUAAAUCGAUGAAGCGGUUCACAAUAUGAUAAUCGAGAACGGAGCGCAUCAUUCACCACUGUUCUAUAGAAAAAGAAUUUUUAUCUGGAUCUAAGUGUAAUUUUUUUAUAUUCCUAUUAGAUUAGGCCUCACCAGAAAAUUAUGAAAAUAUUUAUAUUUUAAAAUUGAUAACCUGAUUAUAAUCUGUCUAGUUAGAUUCUAAAUUAUGAUCUCAUUAAUUUAUCUAUAAAAUAUAUUUUAAUUUAUCAUUAGGAAAUUCAAAAUUGAUUACAAACUUGAUAAACAAUCUUUAUAACUUAAAAAUAUUAUGAAUUAUAAAUUUUAUAGUUUAUAUUUUUUUUCUAUUUCGUAAUUUAUAUUUUUUAUUUUAAUAAUUUAUUUAAAAAACAUAAAUUUAUUUUUUUUAUUUUUGAAAUAAAUAACUAAAAUUAGAAAUUUAUACUAUUCUAUUAAAAAUAUCAUGAUCAAAAUUAAAUGUGAAACAUGAUGCAAUUUAAUGAAUUAUAAUUUUGUUUACGUGUUGCAUUCACUUUUAAAAAUUCUUCUUCAUAUAUAAUAAUAAUAAUAAUAAUAAUAAUAAUAAUAAUAAUAAUAAUAAUAAUAAUAAUAAUAAUAAUAAUAAUAAUAAUAAUAAUAAUAAUAAUAAUAAGAUGAUGAUUAGUCAAUCAAAUUCCUAUACAUACAAUACAUACGAUUAUGACGAAAAAUGACUCUACAACGCAGCUCUCUUCCAUUACACAACUUUACAUGCAGUACUCAAUAUAACAUCCAAGUAAUUUUGCAUCUAUUAAUUUUUAAUUACAUUCUCUGAAAAUCCAAUCUCAUAUAUAAUGUAAAAGCUUUUAAAUCAUUUACAGCCGAGUCAAAUAGCUUUUCACAAACAUAAGUUCAAUUAAAUACAGUAGAAACUAUAAAAAUUAAUAUUCAAUAAAUUAAUAAAUUUGAUAAAUUAAUAAUUUGUUUUGUCCAAAAUUUAUGUUUUGAUCCAGUUAUUCUCUUUAUAAAUUAAAAACUAAUAUAAGAGUCCUAAUGUUAUUAAUCUAUAGAUUUUUUUACUGUAUAUUUGUAAUGUGGCGACAAAACAAAAUUAAGGGGGAUUGAAAUGAAUUAGAUUUCUAUAGAAUUAUACUGUUAUUCAAUGGUGUAAUUCAUGAAUUCUUUUAAAUUCAUGUGUUAUUGGAUUAGAUAUUCGUAAUCAUUCUUCUAAUUAAAUUAAUUUAACUAGUGUCAUUCAAUUUAUUGAUUUCUUAAUUUUAUUAAAUAUUUGUGUUAUUCAAUUUUGUUACAGCAUUUAUGAUAUUGUCAUUUGGUAAGAAUUUCACUAAAAAAAAUACAAAGAACCAAUUCCCAGCAUUUUUGCUGUUAUUUGGAUAGAAUUCAUUAAAAUCCUAACAAAAAUUUUAAAUUACUCUAAAAUUAAUUAAUUUAAAAUUUAUUUGCAUUCUAUUAAAUUCAAGCAUCCAAUACCCUCACCUAAAUCCAUUUGUAAUGUCAUAACUCAUAACAUACAAUACUAAAAUGAAAUUCCUAAUAAUGAUGGGCCUUUUAUGGACAUUCGUAUGAUGGGCUUUACUUGAUGAUCCUAAGGCCAUUUUGUAUUACCAGCGAAACCCAAAAAAAAACCUAUAAACAGGUGACUUAUUUAUAAGCGUAUCUAGGGUUUUUUCUUGUACCCUAAGUGUAAGCUUCACACCAAAAAAAACCCCUUAGCCGUCGCCGUCACUUUCUCUCCGAGACGAAAGAUGAAGACUAUCUUGUCAUCUGAGACGAUGGACAUCCCCGACGGCGUCGCCAUCAAGGUUCACGCCAAGGUGAUCGAAGUCGAAGGCCCACGCGGGAAACUCACUCGCGAUUUCAAGCAUCUCAACCUCGAUUUUCAGCUGAUUAAAGACGAGGUCACCGGGAAGCGUCAGCUCAAGAUCGAUUCGUGGUUCGGCUCUCGCAAAGCCAGUGCUUCGAUCCGAACUGCGUUAAGCCACGUCAACAAUCUCAUCGCUGGUGUCACUCAAGGUUUCCUUUACAAAAUGAGGUUUGUGUAUGCUCAUUUCCCCAUCA